UAGAUGGCGACCGGCGCACGGGUGAGUAACACGUAUGCAACCUGCCCGAUACCGGGGUAUAGCCCAUGGAAACGUGGAUUAACACCCCAUAGUACUUUUAUCCUGCCUGGGAUGGGAGUUAAAUGUUCAAGGUAUCGGAUGGGCAUGCGUCCUAUUAGUUAGUUGGCGGGGUAACAGCCCACCAAGACGAUGAUAGGUAGGGGUUCUGAGAGGAAGGUCCCCCACAUUGGAACUGAGACACGGUCCAA
rnacentral:rRNA from 1 species